rnacentral:rRNA from 1 species
UACGUAGGGUGCGAGCGUUGUCCGGAAUUACUGGGCGUAAAGCGUGCGCAGGCGGUUUUGUAAGCCAGAUGUGAAAUCCCCGGGCUUAACCUGGGAACUGCAUUUGGGACUGCAAGGCUUGAGUACGGCAGAGGGGGGUAGAAUUCCUGGUGUAGCAGUGAAAUGCGUAGAUAUCAGGAGGAAUACCGAUGGCGAAGGCAGCCCCCUGGGUCGAUACUGACGCUCAUGCACGAAAGCGUGGGGAGCAAACAGG